rnacentral:rRNA from 1 species
UACGGAGGGUGCUAGCGUUGUUCGGAAUCACUGGGCGUAAAGGGCUCGUAGGUGGCCAACUAAGUCAGACGUGAAAUCCCUCGGCUUAACCGGGGAACUGCGUCUGAUACUGGAUGGCUUGAGUUCGGGAGAGGGAUGCGGAAUUCCAGGUGUAGCGGUGAAAUGCGUAGAUAUCUGGAGGAACACCGGUGGCGAAGGCGGCAUCCUGGACCGAUACUGACACUGAGGAGCGAAAGCCAGGGGAGCAAACGGG